rnacentral:rRNA from 1 species
UACGAGGGGGGCAAGCGUUGUUCGGAUUUAUUGGGCGUAAAGGGUGCGUAGGCGGUUUGGCAAGUCUUAUGUGAAAUCUUCGGGCUCAACCCGAAGUCUGCAUAAGAAACUGCCGGGCUUGAGUAUGGGAGAGGUGAGUGGAAUUUCCGGUGUGAGCGGUGAAAUGCGUAGAUAUCGGAAGGAACACCUGUGGCGAAAGCGGCUCACUGGACCAUAACUGACGCUGAUGCACGAAAGCUAGGGGAGCAAACAGG